AUGUCACAUCGAGGUACUGUAGAAAAAAGAACUACAAAAUCCUAUCCAUUUUUUCGUAAUCGAUUAGUUAACAUGGUGGUUAACCGUAUUAUGAAAACAGAAAAAAAAUCAUUGGCUUAUCAAAUUCUCUAUCGAGCCGUGAACAAGAUUCAACAAAAGACAGAAACAUAUCCACUAUUGGUUUUACGUCAAGCAAUAUGUAGAGUAACACCCAAUAUAGGAGUAAAAAGACGUAAUAAAAAAGGAUUGAAGCGGAAAGUUCCGAUUGAAAUAGGAUCGAAACAAGGAAGAGAACUUGCCAUUCGUUGGUUAUUAGAAGCAUCCCAAAAGCGUCCGGGUCGAAAUAUGGCUUUCAAAUUAAGUUCCGAAUUAGUAGAUGCUGCCAAAGGGAGUGGGGGUGCCAUACGCAAAAAGGAAGCGACCCAUAGAAUGGCAGAGGCAAAUAGAGCACUUGCACAUUUUCGUUAA
rnacentral:rRNA from 1 species